rnacentral:rRNA from 1 species
GAUGAACGCUGACAGAAUGCUUAACACAUGCAAGUCUACUUGAACUUCGGUUUGGGUGGCGGACGGGUGAGUCACGCGUAAAGAACUUGCCUCACAGUUAGGGACAACAUUUGGAAACGAAUGCUAAUACCUGAUAUUAUGAUUUUAGGGCAUCCUAGGAUUAUGAAAGCUAUAUGUGCUGUGAGAGAGCUUUGCGUCCCAUUAGCUAGUUGGAGAGGUAACGGCUCACCAAGGCGAUGAUGGGUAGCCGGCCUGAGAGGGUGAACGGCCACAAGGGGACUGAGACACGGCCCUUACUCCUACGGGAGGCAGCAGUGGGGAAUAUUGGACAAUGGACCAAAAGUCUGAUCCAGCAAUUCUGUGUGCACGAUGACGUUUUUCGGAAUGUAAAGUGCUUUCAGUUGGGAAGAAAAAAAUGACGGUACCAACAGAAGAAGAGACGGCUAAAUACGUG